rnacentral:tRNA from 1 species
AAGAUUUUAAGUUAAAAAAACUAAUAACCUUCAAAGUUAUAAAUAAAUUACAUAUAUUUUAAAUCUUA